AGAGUUUGAUCAUGGCUCAGGAUAAACGCUGGCGGCGUGCCUAAUGCAUGCAAGUCGAACGGGAUCGUUCCAAUACCGUGUCCUUCGAGGCUAGGUGGGAUGAGGACCGUGGCGGACGGGUGAGGAACGCGUGGCCGACCUGCCCUGAUCACGGGGACAACCGCGGGAAACUGCGGCUAACACCCGAUAGCUUCAUGAGGGGGGACCUUCAUGAAGAAAACGUUAUGGAGUGGAUCAGGAGGGGGCUGCGCCCGAUUAGCUAGCUGGUGGGGUAACGGCCUACCAGGGCGACGAUCGGUCGCUGGUCUGAGAGGAUGAUCAGCCACACGGGGACUGAGACACGGCCCCGACUCCUACGGGAGGCAGCAGCAAGGAAUUUUCCCCAAUGGGCGCAAGCCUGAGGGAGCAACGCCGCGUGGGGGACGAAGCAUUUCGGUGUGUAAACCCCUUUUCUAUGGGACGAAGCAAGUGACGGUACCAUGGGAAGAAGGCCCGGCUAACUACGUGCCAGCAGCCGCGGUAAUACGUAGGGGCCAAGCGUUGUCCGGAGUUACUGGGCGUAAAGGGUGCGCAGGCGGUUGGUUACGUCGUGUGUGAAAGCCCCCCGCUUAACGGGGGAGGGUCGCGCGAAACGGGCUAACUGGAGGCAAGGCGAGGUCGGUGGAAUUCCCGGUGUAGUGGUGAAAUGCGUAGAGAUCGGGAGGAACACCAGAGGCGAAGGCGGCCGACUGGACUUGACCUGACGCUGAGGCACGAAGGCGUGGGGAGCGAACGGGAUUAGAUACCCUAGUAGUCC
rnacentral:rRNA from 1 species